UAAAUCGACAUUAAAGCUGCCAUUUAUUUCUUUUUUUGCAAAACUAAUCAUAUGCUGACUCUCCUCACUUUCUCAUUCUUCUUCUAUCUCAUCUCAUCUCACCCUAAACUCCUCAAACCCUCUAUUCUCAAUUAUUCACUCUUCCAUCGUCGAAGCGCAUUCACGUCAUUGUAUUAUCCUUCAUGCCCACUACUGCUGAAGAUCUGUCGAACCUAGUCGUGCCACCAUCGGUGCGCCAUCUCAUAUUGUCUCGCCUAGAUCAGGCCCAGAUCGUCCUUCGUGCCCAUCACUACUGAAGAUCAUCCUCCGUCUUCUUAUCUGUCGAUGAAAAUAUACCCAUUCAUGAGGUUUUUCAAAAUAUGAGAUGUAGCAAAGAGGAUCUUAGUGAGGUUGCUAAGGAAAGGCUGAAGAGUUUUUGCCACAAUUAGCUUAAGGAAAAGAAGGUAAUGCUUCACUUACUAGUAGCAUUGUGGUUAACUCUAUUAAUUUGGUAUGAAUUUUUUUAUUGUAUUGUUGUAGAAAAGAAAAGUUUUGAAGUUUUUGGGUUUCAUUUGGCAAGAUUUUGUCGGUAUCAUCACCCUACUUAUCAUUAACUCUACAAUUAGUUUUAUUGAGGAAAACAUUGCAGGAAACGUUGCAGCUGCUCUCAUGGCUCAUCUUGCUCUCAAAGCCAAGCUAUUAGAGAUGAAUUAUUGUGUGUUACAUUUUUGCUAGAAACUGUACCUUAUUGGCUUAAUUUCAUCUGCCUUUGAGAUGCUUAAAGUUUUUAGUGGAACCACAAAUUUUAGGUGAUAUGUACUUUCAUUUAUGUGUGUUGACUUUUGAUUUUAUAUGGAAGGUUCUUAGAGAUGGAAGGUGGAGCGAGGAAGAUGCUUCCAUUUUAGUUCCUAGGGACGUAAUUAGUGUUAAACUUAGGGACACUAUUCCAGCCAAUGCUUGUCUUCUGGAGAUUUUAACCUGAUUUCUCACAUACCACCCCAUUACUCUGCACUCCUCAUAUUGUAACCGUCAUGUAAGAUCGUUUACCCUCUUACUUCUUACACGAUUGGCUAACUUCUUACACGACAGUUUUUUAUGGAUCGUUUACCCUCUUACAGUCCCUAACUAUUCCCACAAUCCUAACGGCCCCUAAUUGUCUUUGAUUUGCCUCAACCUCUUUCUUCGUACAAUUUUUCUUAACCUCUCUUAGUGCCUCAACUCUAUGCUAUUUGCGCUUCCUUUAAGGUCACUUUCUUCCCUUUUUCCUUUUGUAUUUCUUUGUCAAUGGACGAAUAAACUAACCAAAAAGUAGCCAGUCCUCCUCUGAGUGUGGCCCCCUUUUGUCACAGAAUCCAAUGUCUUUUUUAUUGAUUUCUUUCUAUUCUUACUAUCAUCCUCAUAUCUCUAUCACGUCUUCAGUACUUUGCUUAUGUGGUUGUUUUGGUUGCAUUCCUCUACUUCUUUUAGACACUGAGGGUUUUUUUUCUGUUUUGCUGGUAGUUGUGUAUCUUCCUUUGGUGGUCAUGUAGUUUUUUCCUCUCUCUCUAAAGUGGUUAGGGCUUUAGAGUGAGGAAGUUUCUAGUGGUGGUGGUGAAGAAGAAGUUUUUAGUUUGUGAAGAUGUUCGGGUUUCGAAGUCGAAUGAAGCUUGGAAGGUGAGUGAUUGUGUCAGUUUUAUGUGUUAUGCAAUAUGUUGAAGCUUACGUAAAUUUAUUUGAUUUAACAAGUUCUUUCUA